rnacentral:lncRNA from 1 species
UCGCCGGGAGGCAAGAAAAGGCUCUGGGCGCCGGGGCUGCCGCUGCUGCGGGGACCGAGCUCGGCCGGGGCGCCCGCCCCGCUCCGGCGCCAGCCUCCGCUCCUACGGCGCUCCCGCGGCGGGGCGGCGCUCGCCGGGCGCCCCCGGGCACCGGUCUGGCAUCCUUUAGCUAAAAAAUAUGUAAUUUUUCUUUUUCUUCCUUUCCUUUUCGCACGCUGGCUCCCCUCUCUUCCACCGCCUCGUCCGGCUUGCCGGCUGCGGGAUCCUGCGCGAAGUUCCCUUUACCAGACGCAAUACCUCAGGGACGCGCCGCCGCCGCGCGGAGUUGGGGCAGGGGCGCAGCCCUCCAAGUUGCUACCGCGCCCCCGGCGCCUCCGGUCGGGGAGCGCUCGCCGGGCGCAGCUCGCAGGGGCCGGAGGGGCGGCGGCUGCGCACCAUGUGCCGCCCCCGGCGCCCGCCGCGGCCCCGGCUCGCAGGAAGCGCCGCGGAGGGUGUGGCCCGCCCGCCCCGCACGGCCCCGCCGCGCACCCGCGGGGAGCCGGCCCGGGAGGGGAGAGGGGCACGGCGGGGAGCCGGGACGCGGGGGACCGCGGGGGGAAGGAAAAAAAAAGAAGAAAGAGAGGCGGGGGGCAAAAAAAAAAAAAAAGCUCCACCGGAUCCGGGUGCUGGGGCGGGCGGGCGGAUCCGUUCCCCUUCCUUUGCCGCUGCCUCACUCCUUCCUGCCGCGAUCAUUCACGCGGCCGCUGCGCGCUCUCUCCCCGCCGCCGCGGUCCAUCCCCUGCGCCCCGGGCCCUCCUCGCCGGCUCCCGCGGUGGCCGCCGCCGCACCAACUUAGGCUCUUCCCGCAAACAAGGGUGGUGGCCGCGGGCUGCAGCCGCGGAUGCUGCGACCCGCCCGGCCUUGCGCUCCUCCUGCCAUCUUCCCUGGCUGAGCCGCCAACUCCCAGGGGAAAAAAAAAAAAAGAAAAAAAGAAAAAGAAAAAGAGGGGAAAAAAAGAGGGGGAGGAAAUCUUCGUUUAAAUUCCCUUUCUCAGGCUUUCAGACAAACUACUGGGACGAGGCGGCUGCGACGGCGCUGCCAGCCAGACGCUGCACGGCUCUGGGGGAGCUCCCCCGCCCCGCUGCCUUUGCUGUAACCUCACUUGAGCCUAUCGAAAUCUUUUGUGCGGUGUCACCGCCCUUCGUUUAA